rnacentral:rRNA from 1 species
ACGGGUGAGUAACGCGUGGGAAUCUACCCAUCCCUACGGAAUAACGCAUGGAAACGUGUGCUAAUACCGUAUACGCCCUACGGGGGAAAGAUUUAUCGGGGAUGGAUGAGCCCGCGUUGGAUUAGCUAGUUGGUGGGGUAAAGGCCUACCAAGGCGACGAUCCAUAGCUGGUCUGAGAGGAUGAUCAGCCACAUUGGGACUGAGACACGGCCCAAACUCCUACGGGAGGCAGCAGUGGGGAAUAUUGGACAAUGGGCGCAAGCCUGAUCCAGCCAUGCCGCGUGAGUGAUGAAGGCCUUAGGGUUGUAAAGCUCUUUCACCGGAGAAGAUAAUGACGGUAUCCGGAGAAGGAGCCCCGGCUAACUUCGUGCCAGCAGCCGCGGUGAUACGAAGGGGGCUAGCGUUGUUCGGAAUUACUGGGCGUAAAGCGCACGUAGGCGGACUUUUAAGUCAGGGGUGAAAUCCCGGGGCUCAACCUCGGAACUGCCUUUGAUACUGGAAGUCUGGAGUAUGGAAGAGGUGAGUGGAAUUCCGAGU